rnacentral:rRNA from 1 species
GAUGAACGCUAGCGGUAGGCUUAACACAUGCAAGUCGAGGGGCAGCACAAGGUAGCUUGCUAUCUGGGUGGCGACCGGCGCACGGGUGCGUAACGCGUAUGCAACUUGCCCUAUACAGGAGGAUAACCCGUCGCAAGACGGACUAAUACUGCGUAUGCUCACAACUUGGCAUCAAGUGGAGAGGAAAGAAAUUCGGUAUAGGAUAGGCAUGCGUCCCAUUAGCUUGUUGGUGAGGUAACGGCUCACCAAGGCAACGAUGGGUAGGGGAACUGAGAGGUUUAUCCCCCACAAGGGUACUGAGACACGGACCAGACUCCGACGGGAGGCAGCAGUGAGGAAUAUUGGUGAAUGGGCGCUAGCCUGAACCAGCCAAGUCGCGUGAAGGAGGACUGUCUUAGGGAUUGUAAACUUCUUUUAUACGGGAAUAACAAGAGUCAAGUGUGACUCCCUGCAUGUACCGUAUGAAUAAGCAUCGGCUAACUCCGUG